CGGGCCGUAGCUUAGCUAGGUGGAGCGCCCGUGGAGAUCCGGCGAGGCUGAUAAAGGGCUCCCGGCCCGAGCAACCGGGAGGUCCCGGGUUCAAAUCCCGGCGGCCCCACCA
rnacentral:tRNA from 1 species